UCAUAUGUACUAGUAUAUAAAGGUUAACACAUUGUUGGAGAAACAUCAUCAUCACUUCGGUCCUACACUGAACAUCCCGUGCAGCAAAGCCGAAUACGCCGUUAAAACCUCUUCCACAAUGCAACUGAAACACGUCUUCCUUCUCCUUGUCGUCGCUGUUGCUGCCGCUAGUGCAUAUAGAACGGUUGGUUCUAGGAACAGAUAUCCAUAUGGUCGCUAUGGUUAUGGCUAUGAGAUUGAGUUCCCUGACUUCCCCGACUUCCCCGACUUCGAGUUCCCCCUGUACAUGCUGGGACGAGGUGGUCGACGUGGAGGACGUGGAGGACGCAGGUCACAAAACACUUACAACACAUUCGCCAGACUCGCUACACUGGAUGCUUUAGACUUAAUCUAAGAAAAAACUACGGACUCUACACCGGCACCAGUACUCGUGCAGAAGAAUCUAUUUAUAAUUUAACUUAUUUGAUAUUUAUUUGUCCAUUAAAGAAUAUUCAAAGAAAA